CGACCUAGCACAGCGCUGAGCGUCGCUUCCCUUUCAAGGAAGAGGUCAGGGGUUCGAAUCCCCUCCGGGCUA
rnacentral:tRNA from 1 species